rnacentral:rRNA from 1 species
GAUGAACGCUAGCUACAGGCUUAACACAUGCAAGUCGCGGGGCAGCAUGGGGGUUGCUUGCAAUCCCCGAUGGCGACCGGCGCACGGGUGAGUAACGCGUAUCCAACCUGCCCUUCACCACGGGAUAACCCGGCGAAAGUCGGACUAAUACCGUAUGUUGUCCAUUGACGGCAUCCGAUUUGGACGAAAGGUUUGGCGGUGAAGGAUGGGGAUGCGUCCGAUUAGCUGGACGGCGGGGUGACGGCCCACCGUGGCGACGAUCGGUAGGGGUUCUGAGAGGAAGGUCCCCCACACUGGAACUGAGACACGGUCCAGACUCCUACGGGAGGCAGCAGUGAGGAAUAUUGGUCAAUGGGCGUAAGCCUGAACCAGCCAAGUAGCGUGCAGGAUGACGGCCCUAUGGGUUGUAAACUCCUUUUAUGCGGGGAUAAAGUGGCCCACGUGUGGGUUUUUGCAGGUACCGCAUGAAUAAGGACCGGCUAAUUCCGUG